AACUCUCUACAACGGAUAUCUUGGCUCUC
rnacentral:rRNA from 2 species